GACGAACGCUGGCGGCGUGCUUAACACAUGCAAGUCGAACGGAAAGGCCCUGCUUGCCGGGUGCUCGAGUGGCGAACGGGUGAGUAACACGUGGGUGAUCUGCCCCUUACUUUGGGAUAAGCCUGGGAAACUGGGUCUAAUACUGGAUAGGACCAUGCUGUAGGUGGUGUGGUGGAAAGAUUAGUUUCGGUAAGGGAUGAGCUCGCGGCCUAUCAGCUUGUUGGUGGGGUAAUGGCCUACCAAGGCGUCGACGGGUAGCCGGCCUGAGAGGGUGGACGGCCACAUUGGGACUGAGAUACGGCCCAGACUCCUACGGGAGGCAGCAGUGGGGAAUAGUGCACAAUGGGCGCAAGCCUGAUGCAGCGACGCCGCGUGGGGGAUGACGGCCUUCGGGUUGUAAACUCCUUUCGGCCAUGACGAAGCCCUUGUGGUGACGGUAGUGGUAGAAGAAGCACCGGCUAACUACGUG
rnacentral:rRNA from 1 species